UGGGCAACCUGCCCCUCUCUCUGGGAUAACCCCGGGAAACCGGAGCUAAUACCGGAUACUCCGGCUGGAUCGCAUGGUCCGGCCGGGAAAGGUCCGCCGGAGAGGGAUGGGCCCGCGGCCUAUCAGCUUGUUGGUGGGGUCAUGGCUCACCAAGGCGACGACGGGUAGCUGGUCUGAGAGGACGACCAGCCACACUGGAACUGAGAUACGGUCCAGACUCCUACGGGAGCA
rnacentral:rRNA from 1 species